rnacentral:rRNA from 1 species
AUUGAACGCUGGCGGCAUGCCUUACACAUGCAAGUCGAACGGCAGCACGGGGCAACCUGGUGGCGAGUGGCGAACGGGUGAGUAAUGCAUCGGAACGUACCUUUCAGUGGGGGAUAACGUAGCGAAAGUUACGCUAAUACCGCAUAUUCUGUGAGCAGGAAAGCAGGGGAUCGCAAGACCUUGCGCUGAUUGAGCGGCCGAUGUCAGAUUAGCUAGUUGGUGAGGUAAAGGCUCACCAAGGCGACGAUCUGUAGCGGGUCUGAGAGGAUGAUCCGCCACACUGGAACGGAGACACGGUCCAGGCUCCUACGGGAGGCAGCAGUGGGGAAUUUUGGACAAUGGGGGCAACCCUGAUCCAGCCAUGCCGCGUGAGUGAAGAAGGCCUUCGGGUUGUAAAGCUCUUUCGGCCGGGAAGAAAUCGCACGGGCUAAUACCCUGUGUGGAUGACGGUACCGGAAUAAGAAGCACCGGCUAACUACGUGCCAGCAGCCGCCGUAAGAC